CAAUUAAGCGCCAUGACCGGUCCCGUUGCUUUUCGGGCGAAAGAGGGAAUGUAGUGCGGUGCCGUUUAGCGCCAAGUCUACAGCUGCCCCCGCAACUGUCAGCGGCGAGCAGGGCCAAUAUGCCACUGGAGCAAUCCGGGAAGGCUGGCCCAACGCAUUGACCCGCAAGCCAGGAGACCUGCCGGACAUGUGCCCCAUGG
rnacentral:ncRNA from 2 species